rnacentral:tRNA from 1 species
AUCCCUUUCGUCUAAUGGUUAGGACAAUACUUUUUCGAGGCAUAAAUACGAGUUCAAAUCUCGUAAGGGAUA